CUUGGAACUGCCAUCAAAACUUUCUAGCUUGAGUGUGAUAGAGGAAAGUGGAAUUUCUAGUGUAGAGGUGAAAUUCGUAGAUAUUAGAAAGAACACCAAAUGCGAAGGCAACUUUCUGGAUCACUACUGACACUGAGGAGCGAAAGCAUGGGUAGCGAAGAGGAUUAGAUACCCUCGUAGUCCAUGCUGUAAACGAUGUGUGCUAGACGUUGGAAAUUUAUUUUUCAGUGUCGCAGCAAAAGCGUUAAGCACACCGCCUGGGGAGUACGACCGCAAGGUUAAAACUCAAAUGAAUUGACGGGGACCCGCACAAGCAGUGGAGCAUGUGGUUUAAUUCGAAGAUACGCGCAGAACCUUACCAACACUUGACAUGUUCGUCGCGAGACCAAGAGAUUGGUUUCUUCAUUCAGUUGGACGAAACACAGGUGCUGCAUGGCUGUCGUCAGCUCGUGUCGUGAGAUGUUGGGUUAAGUCCCGCAACGAGCGCAACCCCCACGUUUAGUUACUAACAUUUAGUUGAGUACUCUAGACGAACUGCCAGUGAUAAGCUGGAGGAAGGUGGGGAUGACGUCAAGUCCUCAUGGCCCUUACGUGUUGGGCUACACACGUGCUACAAUGGCAUUUACAAUGGGAUGCAAAGAGGCGACUCCUAGCUAAUCCCGAAAAUAUGUCUCAGUUCGGAUUGUACUCUGCAACUCGAGUACAUGAAGCUGGAAUUGCUAGUAAUCGCGGAUCAGCGCGCCGCGGUGAAUACGUUCCCGGGUCUUGUACACACCGCCCGUCACACCAUGGAAGUUGGUUACACCUUAAGGCAAAGGGUCAAACCUUUGACUACGGUACGAUCAGCGACUGGGGUGAAGUCGUAACAAGGUAACCGUA
rnacentral:rRNA from 1 species